GACACAGUCAACUACAAGACUCUCUUGUCUACUCCUUCCUACCUGGAAGGUCACUCAUACCAGAUACCACAGCUUCUGCUUGGAUCUCGGCAUGCUUGACAGACAUAUCUUAAUGGAUGAGUGAUCAUCAACUACAACUCAGCCCCAGUAAAACGGAACUGCUGGACAUCCCAGGUGACUCAUCUACAGGCUGCCCAGGUGCUUGUUCAGUCUCUUGUCAUUUCAAGACUCGACUACUGCA